rnacentral:rRNA from 1 species
GACGAACGCUGGCGGCGUGCCUAAUACAUGCAAGUCGAACGCAGUGGGGACGGGUGAGUAACACGUGGGUAACCUCCCAUCAGAGGGGAUAACACUUGGAAACAGGUGCUAAACCGAUAUUGAUGGAUGGACCCGCGGUGCAUUAGCUAGUUGGGGAGGUAACGGCUCACCAAGGCCACGAUGCAUAGCCGACCGUAGCGGGUGAUCUGCCACCUUGGGACUUGGCCACGGCCCAUACUCCUCCGGGAGGCAGCAGUGGGGAAGCUUCUGCAUUUGACGAAAUUCUGCACGAGCAACGCCGCGGUAGUGUAGAUGGUUUUCGGAUUGUAAAACUCUGUUGUUAGAGCAGCGGUAUCUAACCAGAAAGCCACGGCUAACUACGUGCCAGCCGCCGCGGUAAUUC